GACGAACGCUGGCGGCGUGCCUAAUACAUGCAAGUUGAGCGCUGAAGGUUGGUACUUGUACCAACUGGAUGAGCAGCGAACGGGUGAGUAACGCGUGGGGAAUCUGCCUUUGAGCGGGGGACAACCUUUGGAAACGAAUGCUAAUACCGCAUAAAAACUUUAAACACAAGUUUUAAGUGUUAAAGAUGCAAUUGCAUCACUCAAAGAUGAUCCCGCGUUGUAUUAGCUAGUUGGUGAGGUAAAGGCUCACCAAGGCGAUGAUACAUAGCCGACCUGAGAGGGUGAUCGGACACAUUGGGACUGAGAAACGGCCCAAACUCCUACGGGAGGCAGCAGUAGGGAAUCUUCGGCAAUGGACGAAAGUCUGACCGAGCAACGCCGCGUGAGUGAAGAAGGGUUUCGGAUCGUAAAACUCUGUUGGUAGAGAAGAACGUUGGUGAGAGUGGAAAGCUCAUCAAGUGACGGUAACUACCCAGAAAGGGACGGCUAACUACGUG
rnacentral:rRNA from 1 species